rnacentral:sRNA from 1 species
GUUUGAUUCCUCUGAGUUUUUGUUUUAGUUUUGAGAAACACUGCAAGCACAAUGGAUGCCACUCACUCCAUGUUCUGCAACAAUGAUCUGGUUAACCCCCUAAGCUCAAUGGGCAUGCAAGUGUCCUGCAUUCUUGUCGUGUCACAUAUCUUCAACGUUGUGUUUAGGACUGUGGGUCAACCUGGACCAAUUGCGCAGAUUCUGGCUGGGUUGGCGCUAGGUCCAAUGUCACACAUUCCGUAUAUAAA